ACCUAGGAUUAUAGGUGUGAGACAGCAGUGACCAACAAUAACUUUGUUUUUAUAAUAAUGCUAGCAGAGUACACACAAGAAGAAAAGUAUCUGCACUAGAUCUUAAAGACUAGCGUAUACCUUUUUGUAAAUUUCUAGUGUCCUUUGUCUUAAGAUUUGGUGUAGUAUGU
rnacentral:snoRNA from 1 species